rnacentral:rRNA from 1 species
UACGUAGGGUGCAAGCGUUGUCCGGAAUUAUUGGGCGUAAAGAGCUUGUCGGCGGUUUGUCGCGUCUGCUGUGAAAUUUCGGGGCUCAACCCCGAACUUGCAGUGGGUACGGGCAGACUAGAGUGCGGAAGGGGCAACUGGAAUUCCCAGUGUAGCGGUGAAAUGCGUAGAUAUUGGGAAGAACACCUGAGGCGAAGGCGGGUUGCUGGGCCGACACUGACGCUGAGGCGCGAAAGCCAGGGGAGCGAACGGG